AACCUCCAAAGGCUCAUGGGAGGGACCGAUUGAGAGUGCGCGUUCCCACCUGCCAGGUACUGAUCUCUGGGCACGCGCGCCUGUAGAGACUGCGAAAUCAAGAUUCUCGCACGGGUUAGACAGUAGUCUUCAGGCGUUGGACAGCGCUCCCAGGUACCCUAUGCCUUCUCUGUGUGUGGAGACAGACAGCUUAGAAGACAACAGAGGAACCAACGAAGACUAUUGCAAAAAAAAAGAACAUCUCCCAAAGCUGGGUCUGGUGGCUAACAUUUGAGAAGCUGAGGCAGGAAGAUUGCCUAAACUCAAAGACAACCUGGGCUACAGAGUAAAUUAUAGGCCAGUCUGGAUUGCAGAAUGAGACUAUAGGAAACAGACAAACAAAGAUGUGGGCUGCACUGGAGAAAGAUUUCCUGUUUAUGGAAAUCAGUUUGAGGAUGUUUAGACGGCUCAGCAGGUAAAGGUGCUUGCCACACUCAAGGCUAGCAGGCAAGCUCCAUUUAAGAUCCGGCUCCUACAGAGUUGUCCAUUAACCUCCGUGUAGUGCUGUAGCAUGAGCUCCUGCUCCCUCCGUGUGACACCUCACAUGCCUGCAAUCCCAGCACUCAUCAGACACAAGUAGGAAGAUCAGAAAUGAUCCUCUGCUGCGUAGUUCUAGGCCAACCUGGGCUACCUGAGGCAACAUGGCUGCUCAACUAGCCCAGUGUUAACACUGCCUUCUGACCUCCUUGUAGGACAGGCCUGAGGUAUGUCCAGGAUGGAGUGGCAGAGCCCACAGACAAGAUGAAGGGGAUAACCAGACAACAACUCUCAGGCAUGUCUGUUGGACCCCUGUGGGAUAGCAUGGGAACGUGCUUGGCCAGCUACCAGGGAAGGAAGCUUCCUCCCUGGAGAAGAAAACAAACAAACAUGCACUGGGAAAACCAUGCCAGGAUCACAAGCUCCACUAAGAAGAGUUUUCACCAGUCCUGAGAGACUUUCCCAGGUUACAAGUGUAGUGGCAGUCAUGAGCUGGUGUUAGGACUCUGCCUUUUGCAUGAUGUAUUUUUUUUCCUUUUGUUUCAAGACAGCUGUGCAGUUGUUACCGUACAGCUCUGCCCGGCCUGACCUGGCCUAAAUUUACUGUGUAGACUGGGCUGGCUUUGAACUCAUAGGGUCCUGCCUCCUGAGUGCUGGGAUUAAAGGCAUGUGCCACCACACCCAGCUAAGAUUUUUUUUUUUUUCCGGAGCUGGGGACCGAACCCAGGGCCUUGAGCUUGCUAAGCAAGUGCUCUACCACUGAGCUAAAUCCCCAACCCCCAAGAUUUAUUUAUUUUAUGUAUGUGAGUACACUGUCACUGUCUUCAGACACACCAGACGAGGGGAUCAGAUCCCAUUACAGAUGGUUGUGAGCCACCAUGUGGUUGCUGGGAUUUGAACUCAGGACCUCUGGAAGAGCAUUUAGUGCUCUUAACCGCUGAGCCAUCUCUCCAGCCCAUGCAAGAUAGUAUUUUUCUUACUGUAUAGUUUUUGUUUUGUUUUGUUUUGAGAUAAGGUCUCACGAUGUAGACCAGGCUAGCCUGGAAUUCUCUCCCAAGAGGUAGGACUAAAGGUGAGUGUGCCACUGUGCUAGGCAUUUUACUCAUUUAGACGAGGUCUUUCACUGAACCUGGAGCUCACCAGUUUGACUAGACUGGCUGGCCAGCAAGCCUCUCAGGCACCGGAAUUAUGGUUGAACACAGUUGCACCUGGGUUCGCUUUGUUGAUGUUUUUAAUUUAAAAAACAAAUGGGUGCUAAGGAGUCAGCUCUGGUCCUCAUGCACCAAGCACAUCGCUGUCUAGGCCAUCUCUCAGGCCCCUAUUUAUUUAGGUUUUGGAGACUGGAUUGUGUGCUGUAGUCCAGGCUGGCCCCAAAUGCACAAUCCUCCUGCCUCAGCCUCCUAAAUACCAGGAAAAUAGGCACAUGCCUGCAUGCCAAGCUUGUUUUUGAGACAGGCUGUAUAGCCCAGGCUAGACUCAAAUUCCAGGCCUCAAGCUGUCUUCCUGCUCAGCCCUGCAAGUAGCAAGGAUUACAUAUGCACCAUUGUGCCCAACAUCUUACUGGAUAUCUUGUUAUCUCUGUUAGGACGCCUGUGUCUUGAACUUCAUGCCAAAAAAAAAAACAAAAAACAAACCUGGUGCCAAUGGUACCAGCCCUGUCAUUCUAAAGUAGGAUGGGAUGACAUUUUUCCCUGCCACAGUGUUCCCAGUGUCCCCUCUACUGUGCCUCUCCUCCCAGGCAACACCCGAGUCUUGGUUGGUAAAGUUGAACAAACCUUCUCAUGGAGAAGAGAGUUUCUGGCAUCUGUCCUAGCCAGACUGGAAGACUGCCAGGAAAGGUCUGCCUGUGUCUUCUUCACCUGAAGUCAGAUUCUAGCAUUCCUCUCAUGCACCCCACAGCUGGAGAACGGGCCUUACACUUUCCUCUUGUAAAGACCUAAUAAUAGCAGGGACUAAUGGUGGCAACUGUUUGCAAUCCCCGUGCUUGGGAGGCUGGGGCAGGCAGAUGGCCACAGAUCUGAGCAGCCUGAGCUAUAGAAUGAGACUUAAAGGAAAAAAUGUGGGUGGGGUGAGGGUGCUUCCCGAUGACUCAAGUGAGUUAAGGUGCCAGCUGUUCUGCCUGAGGAGCUGAGUUCCAUCCCCAGGACCCACUUGGUGAGAGGAGAGAACUGACUUGCAAGUCCUCAUCUGACCUACAUACACACACUUAAAAAAAAAAAAAAGGUUAAAGAACAGUGCCCUGAAAAAAAAAUAAAUAAAUAAAAAAAUAAAAAAUAAAAUAAAAAAAGCUUGGGGGGUUGGGGAUUUAGCUCAGUGGUAGAGCGCUUGCCUAGGAAGCGCAAGGCCCUGGGUUCGGUCCCCAGCUCCGGGGGAAAAAAAAAAAAAAAAAAAAAAAAAACAGUGCCCUGCAAGCAGAACUGUGUCCCCAGAAGACACUGUUCUGUAAAAUUACCUAUGAAGUUGAGCUAGCCAGGGGCGGUGGCACAUCUCUUAAAUCCUAGUACUCGGGAGGCAGAGACAGAAGGAUCUCUAUGAGUUUGAGGUCAGCUUAGUCUACAUAGUGAGUCUAGGGCACCAAGAACUACAUUGGGAGAUUCUGCCUCAAAAUAUAACUAAUAAUUUUAAAAUAAAGUUGAGAUACAAUUGAUUCUGUAUGGAUGAUCUGAGUCCUGCCAAGACCAUGAUGCCAUACUGCAGCCCAUGAAACCUCUUCCCACACAUCAUGAGCCAGAGGAAGGUGGGAAUGGAUAGAUAGGAACCCAUAGGUGUUCGAGUCAAGGCUUAAGUCUCUUUGUCUGAUUUGGUUUUUUCUGUAGUAAGGUUUCUCUGCAUAGCCCUGGCCCCCAAAACUCACUCUACAAACCAGGCUGGCAUCGAACUCACAAAGAUCCACCUUCCUCUGCCUCCCAAGUGCUGAGAUGUGUUUGCCACCCCUGCCUGCCCUCAAGUCAAUAGCUUAAGUGACUGUACUUAAACAUGCUAUCUAUGUCAUAAGGUUGAGCCAUUGCAAGGACUGUCAUGUGUCCUUUCACUGAAGAAGAAGCACUAAAACAUCUAGGCAAUGUGGCAGGUAAUCCAACAGCUUCCAGGGCUUCCUUCAGAUGUUGGCAGAUCGUUUAAGCUCUCUGCUUUCUGGGCCUUAGUUCUUCCUCUGUGGUUCUAGGCGGAUAUUGGUACUACCUCACUCAUGGCCCAUUAGGAAGUGUUGUUUGACUCAUGAAUUUGCUUCCAAGAAAAAUAGUCUUGAGAGUGGUGGCCCGGACCUGGAAUCAGCACUUGGGGAUAGAUAGAUGACCAUGCAUUUGCAGCCAGCUUGAUCUGUACAGUGAGUUCCAAGACAGCCUGGACUAUCAAGAGGAGUCCAUAUCUCAAGAGAAAGAGCUGGGCAUAGCGCUGCCUUGGAGGGAUCUCUGGGAAAACCUGGUGUUACAGGCCAGCAAGGGGUACAUAAAGAGACCCCAGCUCAAAAAAAGGGGAGAGGGAUUAUACAUCUGGAAAGCCAGUGAAACACGUAAUUCCAGCCGACCAUGCUUCCUACUUGUCUCCAGGAGUGGAGCCCCUGGGACUAUUUACAGAGCGCAUCAACUGUUUCUGAAAUCCUCGACAUUUUACAUCUGUAUUUUUACUUUCUAUGUAUGAGUGUUUAGUCUGCAUGUGUGUAAGUGCACGUGUACCACAUCUGUGCCUAGUGUUCACAGAGGCUAGAAGAGGGUGUUGGAUUCCUUGGAACUGGAGUUAUAAAUGGUUAUGAGUCACCAUGUGGAACUGAAUCCAGGUCCUUUGUAAGAACAACAGGUGUGGGGUUGGGGAUUUAGCUCAGUGGUAGAGCGCUUGCCUAGGAAGCGCAAGGCCCUGGGUUCGGUUCCCAGCUCUGCAAAAAAAAAAAAAAAAGAACAACAGGUGUUCUUAGCCACCGAGCCAUCUCUCCAACACCUCAACAAUUUGUUUUUGAACAGGGUCUCCUUCAAUGGCUUCAAACUCACAACAAUCUACCUACCUGCCUUUGCCUCCAGAGUGCUGGGAUUAAAGGUGUUUACCACCAUGUCCAGAUGUCUCAGUCUUUAUAAUAAGCACAUAACACCAUGAAACCAAAAAAUAAGAUUUAAAAUCGUGACUGUGUGCAGAAUACACAGGAUGCACUAUCUGAAGGGGUUACUAUUAAUAACUGAAUGAUCUUGGCCCAGCCCCUUCUCCAGGGGCCUCCACGUCUUCAUUUGUAAGAUGCAGCUAGGUGGUCUGGCUUGCCUGCUGUGAGGUCCUGCAGCUUGACUCCCAGCACAGUGUCCCUGCCCUGCCCCCAGCCAGGCCCUCCAAAGCCUGGCUUCCUACCUCAGCUCCUCUAGUUUGCGCUGAGGACCCAGGGUCCCUCUGUUCCCUCCUGGCGUGUAGGCCGCCAGACACCGGGCCACCUGCUGCUGCACUUGCUGCUCCCGAGCCCUGCGCAUCUCCGCCUGCUGCUUCUCCUUCAGCUGCUGCUGUUCCCAGGCCUGCAGCAGGUUUCUGGUGAGAAAGGGGGGAUGUCCAUGGGGAUCAGGAGCUCGAGGAAGGCCAAGGUAGCAUGGAGGAGCAUGUGGUCCAGAGGUGAGGGACUGUGGGAAGAAGUACGUGUCUCUAAGAGCCCAAGUCCUGGGAAAUAAAUGGCAUUUGUCAUGGAAGCAGGUUUUAUGCAGCAACCAGCCUUAGGCCUGUCCCUACUUACUACUCAGGUUCCUUGUUUGUUUGUUUGGUUUGGUUUUUUGUUUGUUGUUUGGUUGGUUUAGUUGUUGUUGUUGUUUGUUUGUUUUGUUUUGAGACAGAGCUUCUCUGUGUAGCCCUAGCUGGACUGGAACUCUUCUGUAGACCAGGUUGGCCUCAAACUCAGAUUCACCUUAUUCUGCCUCUUGAGUGCUGAGAGCAAAGGCAUGCGCCACCGCCUCCCAGCUGAUGGCCAGGUCUUAACGUUGGGCCCAGGCCUCCUGAAUGUCUAGAGCGCAGCCUAGGACUGCGGAGCCCCGAGGAGCUCAGUGCACAGCCUGGGACCCUUUGCACUGCUCACAUUCCCUUCCCAGCAGCUGGCUGUGAGGAAAGCCAGACCUCUAACCACUCUACUUUAGUGCCUAACAGGAUGAGGAUGAGACACAUUCAGACAGACAGUCAGACAGAUAAAUGUGUGGGAAAGAAUUAAAAGGUUAGAGAACUUCAUCUAUGAAAGAAGAGGUGGGCAAGGGUGGGUAACUGAACAGCAACUAGACAAACCUGGGAUACUCUCCCCCAGAUGCCAUGGUUCAUCGGUCACCUGUUGAAAUGUCAUUUCUCACAGAGAGACAUUCCCUGGCUACCCCACCUCCUUUUUAGGGACCCCCAUCUCUAGCUACAUACUUUGUUCAUUUCACCUCUUUUGUAUCCCUGGCUGGCCUCAAACGCUCCAUGUAGCUGAGAAUGACCUGAAACUUGACUCCUACCCUGACCUGCAAGGUGCUGGGAUUACAAACUGCACCACCACACUGGACUUUAAAUCUUCUUAACAGAAAGAAGAACUGGAAAUAUCACAUGCCCUGAUUUCCUAAACCAUCAAUCAGUAAUCAGAACAUGACACUGAGGUAAAAAUGCAGACGAUGGACUAACAGGCCAGAAUGCAAAGCUCAAACAGCACAUUGAUUUUCCAGAGGGAAAGGAAGGUUUCCUCAUAAGUGUGUGGGAAAACUGGCUAUCUCUGUUAAAAGAAUUACAGUAGACUAUUGUUCCAUACAACAUGCCAACACCAACUCAAGUGGGCAAAGCAUUUAAACUGAAAACCUGAAACUAAAAGUUCUCACAGAGCUCACGUGGUGACACAUGCUUAGUUCCAGCCCUCACAAGGCAAAGGCAGGCAGAUCUCUCUGAAUUCAAGACCAGCCUGGUGUACAGAGUGAAUUCCUAGACAGCCAGGACUGCACAGAGAAACCUUAUCUCAAAAGAACAACAGAAAAGUGAUCGAAAUGAAAGGGGAACUCCACGAUGUUGGACUGGACAGUGAUUUCUUUUUUCUUUUUUUCGGAGCUGGGGACCGAACCCAGGGCCUAGCAAGCGCUCUACCACUGAGCUAAAUCCCCAACCCCAUGAUUUUUUUUUUUAGUAUUUUUGGUAUAUAUGUAGGAAAUUAAGUCUCUACAUAGCAAAGGAAACAAAGAACAUCUGCAAACAAAACACUAAAAACAGGUAACAGCUGACCUCAACACCAGUAAGAAAAUACAAAUUGAAAAUGGCGACUGGGAGGUGGGAGGCAGUUAAAAGCCUGGCCACACCCGCCUGAGUUCAAGCCUUAGGGCCCAAGAAAAAGCCAGGUGUGGAUUUGCACAUCUAUAAUCCCAGCGCUCCUAUGUGAGAAGUGUGGCAAAGACAGGUUUGACUCACAGGCCAGGGAGCCUAUAGUACACAGAAUUCUGGCAGAAAUGAGACACCUUUCCUCAAAGUGGUGGAAGAAAACCAACUCCUGCCAUUAUACAUAACGAUGCCCAUACUCACACAAAAUACAUUUAAAAAAGAAAAUGGUCAACAGAUCAGGCAUGGUGAUACAAACCUGUAAUCCUGAGACCUGGGAGGCUGAGGCAGGAGGAUUACAGAAAGUUCAGUGCCAGUUAGUACAUACAUAGCAAGUACCAGACAUGGUAGUUCUAGUUAAAUAGCAAGGAUUUUCCUAAACAAAACAACCAACAAAAGAUAGCCGCUGUCGAUAAGGGUAUGGAGAAGCUGGGCCCUUAUACAUAGUGGGAAUAUAAAAACGGGCUGGCAAGAUGGCUCGGGGCUUUAGAGCACUUGUUGCUCUUCUAGAGACCCAGGUUCAAUUCCAGUACCCACAUGAGGUCACAGCCAUCUGCAACUCCAGUUCAAGGGAACAAAUGCCUUCUUCUGACCUCCCUGUGUAUGAAGCACGAUCAUGAUGCAUACACCAGACAUUCACGUGGUGCACAGACAUACAUGUAGCUAAAACAACUAUACACAUAAAAUCAAAAUAAUCUGAGUAUGGUGGUACAUGACUUUGAUCCCAGCACUAGAGAGGCAGAGACAGACAGAUCUCUGUGAGUUUGAGUUUGAGGACAGCCUGGUCUACAAAGUGAGUUCCAGGACAGCCAGGACUACAAAGAGAAACCCUGUCUAAAAAAAAAAAGAAAAGAAAGAAAGAAAAGAGAAAAGGAAUCUGAUAACCAAGGGUGGUGGUGCAGGGCUGUAAGCCCAGUACCUGCACAGAAACAGAGUCAGAAUUCAAGGUUGUUGGAGAUUGCUUUGAUUCAAUCAGGAAUCUUCAUGUCCAGACAUUGAAGGUUCUUUUCCCCAAUUGGUUUUUGAUUGAUCAAUAAAAAUGCCAAUGGCGGGGUUGGGGAUUUAGCUCAGUGGUAGAGCGCUUGCCUAGCAAGCGCAAGGCCCUGGGUUCGGUCCCCAGCUCCGAAAAACAGAAAAAAGAAAAAGAAGAAAAAAAAAUGCCAAUGGCCAGGCUGGAGAGGUGGCUCAGCGGUUAGGAGCACUGACUGCUCUUCCAGAGGUCCUGAGUUCAAUUCCCAGCAACCACGUGAUGGCUCACAACCAUCUGUAAUGGGAUCUGAUGCCCUCUUCUGGUGUGUCUGAGAAACAACUAUAGUGUACUUAUAUACAAAGUAAAUAAAUAAAACUUCAAAAAAA